rnacentral:rRNA from 1 species
ACUCCUACGGGAGGCAGCAGUGGGGAAUAUUGCACAAUGGGGCAGCCAGCAUGCUCAGCCAUGCCGCGUGUAUGAAGAAGGCCUUCGGGUUGUAAAGUACUUUCAGCAGUGAGGAAGGUGGGUAUGUUAAUAGCAUACUCAUUUGACGUUAGCUGCAGAAGAAGCACCGGCUAACUCCGUGCCAGCAGCCGCGGUAAUACGGAGGGUGCGAGCGUUAAUCGGAAUUACUGGGCGUAAAGCGCAUGCAGGUGGUUUGUUAAGUCAGAUGUGAAAGCCCGGGGCUCAACCUCGGAAUUGCAUUUGAAACUGGCAAACUAGAGUACUGUAGAGGGGGGUAGAAUUUCAGGUGUAGCGGUGAAAUGCGUAGAGAUCUGAAGGAAUACCGGUGGCGAAGGCGGCCCCCUGGACAGAUACUGACACUCAGAUGCGAAAGCGUGGGAGCAAACAGGAUUAGAUACCCUGGUAGACAUCA